ensembl:lncRNA
AUGAAAAGUUUCCUUCCAGCAGAGAUGAAUAAGGUUGCUGCUGGUGGGAAGACUGAGAGCAGCCCUAGCUCAGAUCAGAACUGCACUGAGAGGAUAUUUUCAAACUGUGACAGAAACUAUAACCUAGAGGUCUACAUACUCAACCAUGAGAGCUCAUAAAUGCUGGUUCAUACCAUUGGGAUAAUACCUUAUGCUUGAAGUCAGAGGCUUUGCUCAAGAGGCUGUGCCCAUUGAUAGAAACAAGUGGUUAGAAGUGUCUAUGAAGGAGUCAUUACAAUUUUUUUUUUUGAUGAUGCUAUGGCUGAUUUUGAUUUAAAAAGAAGCCAUGAGAAAGCAGGGUAGUAUUUUUCUUAGCCUUCCACUACUGACCUUCAUUUUCUUUAAAGCAUUCCUUUGAAAUAAACAGAAUGUGGUUUUGUUUUCUCUGAAGAUAAUUUAGGAGUAUUAGUAAAGAUUUGUUUGAUAUUUUGAUAUUAGCAAUUUGGUAUUAAAUUGCAUGAGGUAAUUUUACUUUUAAUGCCAAAGGUUCAUGUAUUUAUCUUCAUCAUGUCUACAAGCUGGAUAGUAAUUUUUGCUAUGGGCACAAGCAACAUGUCAACAGCCAGAUAAUCCAUUUCAGAAAAACAGAUUUUCUGACCUUAUUUUCACAAGAAUAUAGAUCUGCUCAGCUUCUUCUAUUAAACAGAAGCCAAAGUUGUGGAGGAAAUAGCUAGCAGUUUAGCAUUUUAAAAUAUUAGAUUAUGCUAAUCUAAAGUCAGUCUACCUCAAAAUAGGAAUAAAUCACAACAUAUAAUUUUGAAAAAAUGGCAGAUCCUGAUUAAUUCUAGAGUAAUGUUUCUCCUCAGCGGUAUCAAACCUGGGUUCCUUAAGUCUCUCGUUGAAAACACUGAGAUAUGUAAAGAAAAAUAACAGGUAAAAUGCACCACAGUUUCUCAAAAUGAAAAUCUCCGAAGAAUGGCUCAAAGGCAUUUCAAACCUCUGUAAGGAGGAAAAACCACCAGCCACUCUGGACUGAAUACUUGUGUUUUAAACUUAUAAAUGGGAUUGCAAGGUGAUAAAAUCUGCAGGGUGAUUUUUAGACAGGAAGCUGAAAUUCUUGCAUCUGAAGCACUAAAAUGUGACAACCAUUGCAUGUAUUUUUAAAACAGGUGUGAAAAAUCACAGCUAUCUGCUUUCAAUAAAGAAAGAGUAGGAAAUCCACAAUAAAGCAAUAGACCCAUAAACUUUAAAAUAUGCACAUGCAGCAGGUGCUGAUAUGUACAACAAUAUUUGAAUGCAAUAAAAUGUCUGACUAUUGUCCAAAAAGAACUGCAGCCAAGAUACGGCAUUUGGCUAUAUUCUGCCCUUGACUAGAAUUAGUUCAGAUAUCCAAAGCUAGCAUGUAUUAGAUAAAGAGAGGAAAUUUCUUUAGGAAAGACAAUGGGAAAUGUGUUCUGGUUCAAGUCACUUGCUUUACUCUGUUGAGAGGUCUCUAUUGUUUUGGGAGUUUUUAGCUCUUUUUUUCCUAAUGGAUGAUUCAUUUGAAAUGUGAAUUUUUCACCCUUUCAUUCCCAAAAUUUUUGUGACUAUGACUAGCUCCCAAAGAU